rnacentral:rRNA from 1 species
UCGCCUGGUUUUACAAAAACAUGGCUUUUUGAUAAUAAUUAAAGGUCUGACCUGCCCACUGAGGAGUUUAAAGGCCGCGGUAAAUUGACCGUGCUAAGGUAGCAUAAUCAUUAGUUUUUUAAUUGAAAGCUGGAAUGAAUGGUUGGAUAAGAAAAUAACUGUCUCUAUUUAAUUUAUAAUGAAUUUUAUUUUUAAGUAAAAAAGCUUAAAUUAUUUUAAAAGACGAGAAGACCCUAUAGAGUUUUAUAAAGUUUAAAUUUUAAUUUUUUUAGUAUUAUUAUUUUGUAAUUGAAAUUUUAUUUGAUUGGGGCGAUUGAAAAAUUUAAUUAACUUUUUUUAUAUAUUUACAUAAAUUUAUGAUAAAUUGAUCCAUAAAUAAUGAUUAAAAGAUUAAAUUACCUUAGGGAUAACAGCGUAAUUUUUUUUGAGAGUUCUAAUCGAAAAAAAAGUUUGCGACCUCGAUGUUGGAUUAAAAUUAAUUUUUGGUGUAGAAGCUAAAAAUUUAGGUCUGUCCGACCCUUUAAUUUUU